UUUCGUAUGCUUUAUAUUCUUUGUAAAUGAAUUAAUGAAUUUGUUUCUCUUAAAAAUCAAACUAACCCCAAAUAAUUUUGUUUCCCCACCGUUUGCCGCGGCAGUAACACCAUUUCACCGUCGCAUCACGCGUUUUGUCGCGGUCAUUUCUGUGACUUUUUGAGUGAAAAUGGUAGUAGAGAAUACGAGAAUCAUCAUGUUGGAUUUGGAAUACAUGGCUGAAUAUGUGUCAUCUGUUUAUAUAAGAAACUGCUCUUGUAAAAGGAUGCGAGCAUGCUUACUGAUAUGGAUCAGUGGAAGUGUCUUUUCUUGUGAAACUAAUUUAGCUUAGGGGACAUACCGCGUCUUUGAGGUUGCAAGAUGCAAAACCCCUUUGGAUUUGAAUCAUGAACAAUUGACAAGCUCAUCUAUACCAGUAGCUGAAAUUCAACUUUUACUUAAACGGUGGAAAUGGUAGUAUAGAAGAAGAAAAUCAUCAUGUUGGAUUUGGAAAGGAUGGCAGAAAGUGUCAUCUGUUUGUAUAGGAAACUGUUCUUGUAAAAAAAGGUUGCAAACAUGCUUACUGUGUAACAUGCAUCCUUCAUUGGGCCACAUACAGUCAGAAAGUUACCCGCCCUCAGUGCAAACAUCCAUUUGAGUUCCUAACUGUUAUCGCACAUUUGAUGAAAGUAUUCAAGAUUGAGGAAAGUGUUCGCCUACUACUUUGAGCCAAGUGGUUCAAGCCUUUAACUGUUGAAGAGUGUUCGAUUGAUUAAAGAUAUCAAUGAAGAAAAAGAAGACCACUAUUAUAAAUAUGAAGAAGCUAAUGGUGAUCUAGAUGAUGAGAUUUACUAUGCUGGUUCGGCUAGUGUUUGGAUUGGCAACAGUAGCUUGGGAGACAACACUUAUGCUGGUUCCAGGACUCAGGAGCAAGUUUAUCAUGCGAGCCAAAAAAGAAAGACCAAAAGCAUUCAAAACGUAUGACAGGGAGACGAGGGAAGAAGGCACUGAAAAGGGAAGCAGCUGAAGCAAAACAGCAGCAAUAUUUGGCAAGGUUUAAUAGGAACUGAUUCUAAUUUAAUUCAUUCAACCGAAGAAUCCUUCCUUGAAGUUAAAUAUUUUUUUUUCUUUAUUUACAUUUUCUUACAUAUUUUUUUUUACUUGUACAAUGUUUCUGUGCUAUGUGAAGCAUGUGAUAGAAUGUGGGGAAGCUGUUUUAGAAUAAUGGCUUUGUUGGUGGAAUCCUUAACUCACGGUGUCAUUGCACAAUUUAGGCUUUCAAUAAGGUGUCAAUGCAUCUCUAAGCUGUACAUAAUGUCCUUGUGAUGACUUAAGAAUUGUACAGAUUUAA